rnacentral:rRNA from 1 species
ACGGGAGGCAGCAGUGGGGAAUAUUGCACAAUGGGCGCAAGCCUGAUGCAGCCAUGCCGCGUGUAUGAAGAAGGCCUUCGGGUUGUAAAGUACUUUCAGCGGGGAGGAAGGCGAUAAGGUUAAUAACCUUGUCGAUUGACGUUACCCGCAGAAGAAGCACCGGCUAACUCCGUGCCAGCAGCCGCGGUAAUACGGAGGGUGCAAGCGUUAAUCGGAAUUACUGGGCGUAAAGCGCACGCAGGCGGUCUGUCAAGUCGGAUGUGAAAUCCCCGGGCUCAACCUGGGAACUGCAUUCGAAACUGGCAGGCUAGAGUCUUGUAGAGGGGGGUAGAAUUCCAGGUGUAGCGGUGAA